rnacentral:rRNA from 2 species
AUGGCGGCGUGCUACAAUGCAAGUCGAGCGAACUGAUUAGAAACCUUCUUCUCUGACGGUCGCGGGGGACGGGUGAGUAGACGUGUCCAACCCGCCUGUUUCACGGGGAAAACUUCAGGAAACCUUACCUUAUACCGGAUAAGAUCCUCCCCUUCAUGGCAGAUGAUUGUCAGAUGGUUUCGGCUAUCAUUUACCGAUGGCCCCGCGGUGCAUUAGCUAGUUGGUGACCCACCGGCUCACCAAUGCAACGAUGCACUGCCAACCUGAUAGGCCGAUCGGCCACUCUGACACUGACACAACGCCCACACUCCUACGGGAGGCAGAAUUAUGGAAUCUUCCCCAAUGCCCGAUCCUCUGAUACAGCAUCGCCGAGUGAGGGAUGAAGGCUUUCGGGUCCUUUUGCUCUGUUGUAAAGGAAGACCACUUACAACAGAAUGUGCUCGCACCUUGACGGUACCUAACCACAACGCCAUUCCUAACUACGUGCCAGCAACCGCGAUAGUACCUAGGUGUACUCCGUUUUCCGGAGUUAUUAGCCGGAAAGCGCGCGUGUGUGGUUUCGUAGUUCUGAUGUGGAAGCCCACGGGUCAAUUGUGGAGGAUCAUUGGAGACUGGAGAGCUUGAGAGCAUAAUAGAAUUGCGGAAUUCCACGUGUAGCGCUGAAAUGCGUAGAGAUGUGUACGAGCACCAGUGCACGAACGCGGCUUUUUGCUCUGUACUCUGAGCGCUGAAGCGCGAAAGCGUGAGGAGCAUACAUGACUUCUGAUACCUCUGCUACCUCCACGCCAGUGAGACGAUGAUGCUGAGUGCUUAGUAUGGCUUCCAGCACUUUUAGUGCUGCAGCUACGUACUUAGCACGUCGACCUGGGGGUACGUACCGGAUCUGCAAAGCAUCCUGA